rnacentral:rRNA from 1 species
GACGGAGGGUGCUAGCGUUGUUCGGAUUUACUGGGCGUAAAGGGCGCGCAGGCGGCCCGGCGCGUCGGGUGUGAAAGCCCGGGGCUCAACCCCGGAACGGCACCCGAUACGGCCGGGCUCGAGGCCGGGAGAGGGUGGUGGAAUACCCAGUGUAGAGGUGAAAUUCGUAGAUAUUGGGUGGAACACCGGUGGCGAAAGCGGCCACCUGGCCCGGUCCUGACGCUGAGGCGCGAAAGCGUGGGGAG